CUAGCUCAGCUUUGUGUUGAUGUGGAGGCUCUACUUUCACAAACACACAAUGUUUUAAUGUCACUUUUUAGAACCAACUUGAUGCAAAGGAAGUUUCUGCCAUCUGGAGAACACCCCUGCCUGGUGUCUCACAACUGUGAGCAGUUUGAGAGCUUUACUGGUUGAUGUGGAAAGAAUGCUACAAAAACACCUCUCACUUGCAAAGUUGUUUCCUGCCUUCUGAAUUUGCUGUGCACGAGCAGAACAUGGACCAAAUUGUCCAAAUCACUUUUCUUCUGUCAUUAUGGGACAGAGUUUCCUGAGGCCAUCAGGGCUCAAGUAUUGAGUAUCUCUUUGCACGUUUGGACUCAAUUUUAAUGACCGAGUCUCAAUUUAAUAUAAAUUCCUUCACAUGUAUAUAAAAUCUUCUUAGUUUUAAUAUUUUAGUUUUUAGUGUGAACUCUUUAGAGUGUUUCUUCCCAUCAUACAAGAAGCAUUCACUACCUUCCUGUAAUUUCUCUGUGUGUCAUUCGAAAAGCCUUAUUUCAUGGGGAGAUUUUUCUGUGGUAGGAAAUCAGCUUUUUGAUUAUUUGACAGAUCCCCGAGUCUGG